rnacentral:lncRNA from 1 species
CCCUAUAGCCUUCGUCUUCCUCGUCUCCGGCGCUGCCUUAGCCCCCAUCUUCCUCCUCUCCGGCGCUGCCUUAGCCCCCAUCUUCCUUCUCUCCGGCGCGGACCGUCCGACUUCUACCUCCCUCCUCUCCGGUGUCGACUGACCGACCCCAAGGUAGUUUUCUCCUCCUCCCUCCUCUCAUUUCGUCUCGCUUGUUCUCCUCCUUCUCCUCCUCCUGUUGUUCGGGUGUUCGUGGGUUUUUCUCCUUCU